CCUUUAUCCUCCUAAGCUUUCCUUUUUUUAUAGUUUUGUUUUUUUUCGAAACAGGACAAGGGAUUUGUAGUUGUAGUAGAUAUACCUAUGUAGGAACUUAGAAAAAAGAAAGAAAGAAACUUCAAGGUAAAUACAAAAACAAAUCCACCUUUUCAUAUCGAAGGGAUUUAUGCGCAUGAGAGAAUGUUGGCUUGAGAAUGGAAUCAUCAUCUUUCCAACUCAAAUUAAAAAACUCUAUGGAUAUAUUGGUAAAAAUAAAAAUGUUAUAUGUAUGUAUUUAUGCACAUCAAAGGAGAGGUCCCUCACUCAUUUUGUUUCAAACGGUAUCCGCAUCUCUCAAAACAAAGAAGAUAAACUCCGUGCCGUAGUUGCUUUUAAUGUGGCUGUCGUUGCUUCAACGUAUUACUUAUUAUUAUAGGUUUUUUUGUAUAACAAGUAGAAAUAAAAAAUAAACAGCACUCGAAACACGCAUUUUCAAAAUAAUAGGCGAGGCAUGCGGCUGCUUGUGCUCUCAAAAACUG
rnacentral:lncRNA from 1 species